rnacentral:tRNA from 1 species
GGGGUUGUGGCUCAGUGGUAGAGCGCUUGCCUAGCAUGUGUGAGACACUGGGUUCCAGUCUUAGCACCACUU